rnacentral:tRNA from 1 species
GCCGGCGAUAGGGCAAUCUGGUUGCCCCGCCAGGCUGAGCACCUGGUGCCAGUAAUGGCUUGCGGGUUCAAAUCCCGCCGCCGGCG